GAAAACACUUCGGUGAGAGUAGAGUGGCGGACGGGUGAGUAACGCGUGGGAAUCUACCCAGUAGUGGGGGACAACUACCGGAAACGGUAGCUAAUACCGCAUACGCCCUAUGGGGGAAAGGCUUCGGCCGCUAUUGGAUGAGCCCGCGUCAGAUUAGCUAGUUGGUAGGGUAAAGGCCUACCAAGGCAACGAUCUGUAGCUGGUCUGAGAGGACGAACAGCCACACUGGGACUGAGACACGGCCCAGACUCCUACGGGAGGCAGCAGUGGGGAAUAUUGGACAAUGGGCGAAAGCCUGAUCCAGCAAUGCCGCGUGUGUGAAGAAGGCCUGCGGGUUGUAAAGCACUUUCAGUUGGGAAGAUGAUGACGUUACCAACAGAAGAAGCACCGGCUAAAUCCGUGCCAGCAGCCGCGGUAAUACGGAUGGUGCGAGCGUUAAUCGGAAUUACUGGGCGUAAAGCGCGCGUAGGCGGCUAAGUUAGUCAGAAGUGAAAGCCCCGGGCUCAACCUGGGAAUUGCUUUUGAUACUGCUUAGCUAGAGUUUGGUAGAGGAUAGUGGAAUUCCAGGUGUAGCGGUGAAAUGCGUAGAUAUCUGGAGGAACAUCAGUGGCGAAGGCGACUGUCUGGACCAAAACUGACGCUGAGGUGCGAAAGCGUGGGUAGCAAACAGGAUUAGAUACCCUGGUAGAAGGGCG
rnacentral:rRNA from 1 species